rnacentral:rRNA from 1 species
GGUUCGAUUCUGGCUCAGAUUGAACGCUGGCGGGAUGCUUUACACAUGCAAGUCGAACGGCAGCACGGACUUCGGUCUGGUGGCGAGUGGCGAACGGGUGAGUAAUGUAUCGGAACGUGCCUAGUAGCGGGGGAUAACUACGCGAAAGCGUAGCUAAUACCGCAUACGCCCUUCGGGGGAAAGCGGGGACCUUCGGGCCUCGCACUAUUAGAGCGGCUGAUAUAUCGGAUUAGCUAGUUGGUGGGGUAACGGCUCACUCAAGGCGACGAUCCGUAGCUGGUUUGAGAGGACGACCAGCCACACUGGGACUGAGACACGGCCCAGACUCCCAUGGGAGGCAGCAGUGUGGGGAAUUUUGGACAAUGGGGAAACCCUGAUCCAGCCAUCCUGCGUGUGCGAUGAAGGCCUUCGGGUUGUAAAGCACUUUUGGCAGGAAAAGAAACGGCACGGGAUAAUACCCGUGCAACUGACGGUACCUGCAGAAUAAGCACCGGCUAACUACGUGCCAGCAGCCGCGGUAAUACGUAGGGUGCAAGCGUUAAUCGGAAUUACUGGGCGUAAAGCGUGCAGGCGGUUCGGAAAGAAAGAUGUGAAAUCCCAGAGCUUAACUUUGGAACUGCAUUUUUAACUACCGAGCUAGAGUGUGUCAGAGUGGAGUAACGGAAUUCCGCGUGUAGCAGUGAAAUGUGUAGAUAUGUGGAGAAACACCGAUGAAGUAAAGGCAGCCUCCUGGGAUAAACACUGACGCUCAUGCACGAAAGCGUGGGGAGCAAAUAGGAUUAGAUACCCUGGUAGUCCACGCCCUAAACGAUGUCAACUAGCUGUUGGGGCCUUCGCCUUGGUAGCGCAGCUAACGUGUGAAGUUGACCGCCUGGGGAGUACGGUUCGUAAGAUUAAAACUCAAAGAAUUGACGGGGACCCGCACAAGCGGUGGAUGAUGUGGAUUAAUUCGAUGCAACGCGAAAACCUUACCUACCCUUGACAUGUCUGGAAUCCCGAAGAGAUUUGGGAGUGCUCGCAAGAGAACCGGAACACAGGUGCUGCAUGGCUGUCGUCAGCUCGUGUCGUGAGAUGUUGGGUUAAGUCCCGCAACGAGCGGCAACCUUGUCAUUAGUUGCUACGAAAGGGCACUCUAAUGAGACUGCCGGUGACAAACCGGAGGAAGGUGGGGAUGACGUCAAGUCCUCAUGGCCCUUAUGGGUAGGGCUUCGUUAUCGUCAUACAAUACCGGACAGAGGUCGCCAACCCGCGAGGGGGAGCCAAUCCCAGAAACCUGAUCGUAGUCCGGAUCGUAGUCUGCAACUCGACUGCGUGAAGUCGGAAUCGCUAGUAAUCGCGGAUCAGCAUGUCGCGGUGAAUACGUUCCCGGGUCUUGUACACACCGCCCGUCACACCAUGGGAGUGGGUUUUACCAGAAGUAGUUAGUCAACUGCAGGAGGCGAUUACCACGGUAGGAUUCAUGACUGGGGUGAAGUCAACAAGGUAA